rnacentral:ncRNA from 1 species
AAAAUAAACCAGCAAACUUAUUGAAAGAUAAGGACGCAAAACCAUGGGUCUACGUACAUUGUAUAGGAUUGCCAGGUUGCAAUU